rnacentral:rRNA from 1 species
UACGUAGGGUGCGAGCGUUAAUCGGAAUUACUGGGCGUAAAGCGUGCGCAGGCGGUUGUGCAAGACCGAUGUGAAAUCCCCGGGCUUAACCUGGGAAUGGCAUUGGUGACUGCACGGCUAGAGUGUGUCAGAGGGGGGUAGAAUUCCACGUGUGAGCAGUGAAAUGCGUAGAGAUGUGGAGGAAUACCGAUGGCGAAGGCAGCCCCCUGGGAUAACACUGACGCCUCAUGCACGAAAGCGUGGGGAGCAAACAGG